UGGAUUAGUGGCGAACGGGUGAGUAACACGUGAGUAACCUGCCCUCCACUUUGGGAUAACUCCGAGAAAUCGGGGCUAAUACUGGAUAUGACUAUGGCCCGCAUGGGUUGUGGUGGAAAGUUUUUCGGUGGGGGAUGGGCUCGCGGCCUAUCAGUUUGUUGGUGAGGUAGUGGCUCACCAAGGCGAUGACGGGUAGCCGGCCUGAGAGGGCGACCGGCCACACUGGGACUGAGACACGGCCCAG
rnacentral:rRNA from 1 species